CCGUCUGCCACCUCCACCGGUGCUAAAGUCGAAGCCAAACCGCCAAGAACUCUCCUUUUGUAUCCAUCAAAUCGCCCAGAUUUAAAAUGCCUAAACGAGGUCGUCCGCGCUCCCAACCUUUACAAGCUGCAGAGAAGCAACUUAGAUUAUAAGUAGACGAUGUUGUGGACGACGUUAUUACCGUUGCGCUGGCGAAAAAGUUUAGGGAUAGGUUGGCCGUGGGAGGCCCUAGUACGUCUGGAGAUGAUGGUGAGCAG